CCUACGGGAGGCAGCAGUGGGGAAUAUUGCACAAUGGGCGAAAGCCUGAUGCAGCAACGCCGCGUGAGCGAUGAAGGCCUUCGGGUCGUAAAGCUCUGUCCUCAAGGAAGAUAAUGACGGUACUUGAGGAGGAAGCCCCGGCUAACUACGUGCCAGCAGCCGCGGUAAUACGUAGGGUGCUAGCGUUAUCCGGAAUUACUGGGCGUAAAGGGUUCGUAGGGGGUUUCUUAAGUCAGAGGUAAACGGCUACGGUUCAACCGUAGUAUGCCGUUGAAAAUGGGAAACUUGAGUGCAGGAGAGGAGAGUGGAAUUCCUGGUGUAGCGGUGAAAUGCAUAGAUAUUAGGAGGAACACCAGUUGCGAAGGCGGCUUUCUGGGCUGUAACUGACACUGAGGCACGAAAGCGUGGGGAGCAAACAGGAUUAGAUACCCCAGUAGUC
rnacentral:rRNA from 1 species